AAUAGAUACCCUGGUAGUCCACGCCGUAAACGAUGAGUGCUAAGUGUUAGAGGGUUUCCGCCCUUUAGUGCUGCAGCUGACGCAUUAAGCACUCCGCCUGGGGAGUACGGCCGCAAGGCUGAAACUCAAAGGAAUUGACGGGGGCCCGCACAAGCGGUGGAGCAUGUGGUUUAAUUCGAAGCAACGCGAAGAACCUUACCAGGUCUUGACAUCCUCUGCCAACCCUAGAGAUAGGGCGUUCCCCUUCGGGGGACAGAGUGACAGGUGGUGCAUGGUUGUCGUCAGCUCGUGUCGUGAGAUGUUGGGUUAAGUCCCGCAACGAGCGCAACCCUUGAUCUUAGUUGCCAGCAUUCAGUUGGGCACUCUAAGGUGACUGCCGGUGACAAACCGGAGGAAGGUGGGGAUGACGUCAAAUCAUCAUGCCCCUUAUGACCUGGGCUACACACGUGCUACAAUGGAUGGUACAAAGAGCUGCGAACCCGCGAGGGUAAGCGAAUCUCAUAAAGCCAUUCUCAGUUCGGAUUGU
rnacentral:rRNA from 1 species